rnacentral:lncRNA from 1 species
UUGAUCCCCGUGUGGGUCCCUUUUUUUGUGUUGGUAAACAUCAUCUUUCGAUGUCGGUAAACGUCGAGUUUCUUCCCAUUCAUCGGUAGAUGUCUGGUCGUGGUUUCUUUUUUCCCAUUCAUCGGUAGAUGUCUGGCCGUGGUCUCUUUUUUCCCAUUCAUCGGUAGAUGUCUGGUCGUGGUUUCUUUCUUCCCAUUCAUCGGUAGAUGUCU